rnacentral:RNase_P_RNA from 1 species
GUCGGACGGUUCGUCGCUGCCUGUGUGUCUUCGGACACAGGGGAGAGGAAAGUCCGGGCAGCACAGGGCAUCCCACUUCCUAAUGUAGAAGCAGUCCGUGAGGGUUGAGCAGUGCAGAAGAAAAUAACCGCCUCCGCUUCGGUGGAGGUAAGGGUGAGAAGGCAGGGUAAGAGCCUACCAGCGGUGUGGUGACACAUUGGCUGUGCACCUUGGGAGCUGCAAGUUCAUGUAAACUGCCGUUUGAGGAUGGCCCGUCCGAGGUAGAGGGUAGAACGCUUGAGACGUGUGGUGACAUACGCCGUGGAUAAAUGACGAACCGUGGAUUACCGCAAGGCAAACCACGACAGAACCCGGCUUACAGUUCGACUGC